AUGAGAAUGAGAAUGAUACAUGAGCCAAUAUACAGAAGAAGAUGGCACAGAAUGGGAUCAUUUCUGCAUGUAGAGGUCUUUGUAUUGGCACGAAGAACCUCCUCUUCAGGUUGCAUCAUUUGGAUGGUCAGACUUGGGUUUAGGAAUAUCAGUUUGGACCAAGCAUGUUGGCACACACCUGCAAUACCUGCUUAUAGGAAAGGCUGAGGCCGGUUGAUCUCUUGAGUUGGAGAAUAUUCAACUACAGUUGGGCUAAAGCUGUUAUCCAGUGUUGGCACAAAGCCUAGCACAAAUUAAUGGAGGACUACUAAGCUACCUGAGGGGCAAAUUGGUCAGAUUGGAGGAAAAAAAAUAGAUCGGGUUACAUUUUCCUUGCCAAUCAGAAUAAGAGCAGGGACCAGGAGUCACCACUGAACACCACUGAGAAAGAUAAGGAAAGACUUGAAAGAAUGGAAUAUCAAUUUGUCAGCUUUGUGAAGAAUUUAUUUAUAGAUUGAAAUCAGGAGGAUGUUGGAAUCAUGUGAUGAUACAGUGUAAGGUCCCCCUCUUUCAAAGGAAUCUUAUCAAUCCUAUAUUUUGUAUGGUUAGAAUUUUGAACCCUUGGACUUCAUCCCACAGAAGUCCUUCAAUAUUUCCCAGAAUUCCUCUCCUCUCUCCACCAUAUUGUGUGGUCAUAUUUGCAUAAAUUUUCUGUAACUCCUCCCUUCUUUAUCAAGACCACAGCUGGAGUUAGUUUCCUUUUAACUCUAGGUUUUUUUAUUUUAAUAAAUCUUAUAAAUAUAUUACUUGAG
rnacentral:lncRNA from 1 species